CCCUGCCCUGCAAGUGGAGACCUGUUUACUUUUGAGCCAACACACGGAGUAAGGGACUCCUGCCGAGGGCAUGGUGAGCAAGUUCGCCUUGAGCGAAAAGCCUGAAGUGUCCCGCGGGGGGCCCACCUGGUCGAGCAGGUUCAAUUGCUGAACUUGACCACUGCGUCGGGUGGGG
rnacentral:other from 1 species